CUAGUUAAAACCUGUUACGAAUAUGGACUACUUAGUUACAUAUAUACCCAAGACGGAAAUGAAAUAUCCAAUAUACCAAAAAUAUAUGAUUCAUUUAACAUUUUUAAAAGAAUAACCAAAGGAAACUUAUUUUUUAUAAAAUUUUACACGGCACCAACAGAGAUAUUGUAUGAUGAACUUAAAUCACCUCUACAAAUUGUAAAAAUAGGAAUGACCCGAGAUAUGAUUAUACCAGAAGAUAUUAUUCCACAACUAGAAAUAUCUAGAAUUGAGAUACCAAAUUUUUAUGCAAAUAAGAGAAUUAUCGGAUUAUCCACAAUUUUUCAAGAGUUAGCAAACACUUAUCGCAAUAGAAAUCCCAUAGGGAGUUAUUAUUCAAGAGGUAAUGUAAUAGUAUACUCAAAUUCUCAAAUUCAAAGGAACUACGAGAAGCAAAUAUGGAAGACGUUAGGCAAUGGAUCUUGACGUUACUCAAUCCAGAGAAAUAACCUAUCGCCACAGCCAUUAGAGAAAAAAUUAUUUCGGAAGAAUUAUUAACCAGAUAUUGCAAGUUAAUUGGACAUGAAUAUCCAGACCAUUAAUGUUCAAAAUGUAAUAGAGAAGAUAAUAUUGUCCCAGAAGUUCAACUACUGGAAUAGAAGAAGAUAAAAUCGACAGCUGGAAGAUGCAAGAUAUGAAGCAAUAAUGGAGAUACAGAGCAAUAAAAAGAAGACGGAGCAAUAAUAAAAAGAAGACAAGUUAAUGCUAGGAAGUGACAUAAAGAAGACAAGUUAAUGCUAGAAAAUGACAUGGGAGAUUAGAUAUCUUUCCUAAUUCAUUUACGUAAAUUAUUAGUUACUUUUUGACUUUUUGGCAAAAUGUCAUUACUAAGUUUUGUACUCUUGUAGAAAUAAUUUAGGACCUUUGUAAAUUUUUUUUUCUACUUUUAUAGAUAGGUGUAAAGACUUUUGUAAAGUAGGUAGGUAAUAGAUUAGGACAGAUGUAAAAAUGUAAAACGUUUACGGGUUUUCUUAAAAAUAUAAAUAGAAGAGCAUUUGCUCAGAAGAAGGCAAGCCUUCGUACGAUUGAAGCAAAAAAACUCUCUUGUCUACAACAAAUAAUUUGAUUAUUUAAAAAACAGGUAUAUUUCAAUGAAAAAAUUUAUGGAGGAACAAAGCUUAGAAUUAUCAAAACUACCACAACAGGUAUAUUCAUUUACUAUUAUGAAUAGCUAAAUUCAUAAAUUCCUAACAAUCAUGAUAUGAUAAAAUAAGUUCAUGUUAGUUGUUUUAUAGUAAAAUUAUUCGAAAAAUAGCAUGUUAAGAAGUUUAUUAGCAAAGUGAAAAAGGAGAAAAAUCUCUAAGAACUAUGUCAUCCUAAAGGUGAAACCAGUGAGGCAAGAAAGCCGUAAUAGGGGAGUAACCAGAGUAGAGGCGGCGUUUAAGAGAAAAGUAUCCAGAUUAUCAUGCUAAUAGUGACCGAAGAAUAUGUUAUUUAAGAAUAAUCUAUAGCAAUCUAAAGUGAUCAUAUUUUGUUAUGUGCAUGAUUGAAAGGAAUAUUUUGAAAAUAGCAAUUUUAUGAAAAAUGGAUGAUUAUUUAUCUGACGAAAUGGUAGAUAAAUUUAAAAUAUUCGUUUUAUAUGUACUUUAGAAUAUAGAAAUAGUAGAUAUAAGAAAAAUCAUAUUGAAAAAAAUAUUUGAUAGAUAUUUUAUAACUAGAAUUAAUUAUAUAUCACACCUACCAAACUACUCUUAUAAAUACUUACAUACCAAACCCACAUACUAAUUAUGAUAAAUUAUGUAUUUAGAAUCUUGGAAAAUAGACAUAAAAUACAUACAAUUUCUUAGUAAAAAUAUAGACAAUUAAUGAGAUUAAAACAAACAACUACAAGAUAUUAUAAUAAAGUAUUUAACCAAUUUUAAAUGAUAGAUAAUCUUAAAAUAUUAAUCUAAACAGUUAUACCUAGAUAAUUAUCUAGAUGGAUAUUAUUCAGAUUAAAAAAUGUUAGAAUAUAUUAGAAAAACUAGAGAAAACCAAGAUAAUCUAAAUGAAGAAAUUAAUUAUAGAAACUGAAUUAGAAAAAUAAUGGAGAAUCUAAAAGAAAAAUUAAUAUGGAUAGAAGAAACCCUAGAAAAUUUAGAAAAAAAUACAUGUGAUAAUUUAUAUAAUUUAAAAAACUCGCUAUGAGAAGAAUAACACAAGAUAAUAAAUAGCAUUGAGAACCUAGAAUUAGAUAUACAUUACAGUACAAUUAGGAUAACUUAUUAUACAGAAAUUUGUAAUUCUACAAUUACUACAGGAUAAAAUGAUAGACUAUAAAUAUUUAAAAUAUUGGAGACAAAAUAUGAAAGAAAUAAUAUUAUUAGAAAAACUUAUGAAAGAUAAUCUAAUUGAAUAUUUUGAAACAAAAGAUAUAGAAUAUUUAGAAUACCUUCAAAAUAAUAUAGAAGAAUUACAAAAACUAGGGGAAAAAAAUAAAGAAUACUAUAGUAAAGCAUUUAACCAAUUAUCAUAUAAUCACCCCCAAGAUAUGAAUCUGAAUAUCGAUAAAACUAACAUAAAUAUAUACAAAAUAAAAAUAUUUAGAGAAGUUAAGAAAUAUCCACGCAAAAAUAAAAAUAAAUCCAUUAUAUUUAUAAUAGAUGUAUUUUACCACACAAGUUAUCCGCACCCCUACAAUUGGCCAUUAAAUCAAUGAUAGAAAGCAUAUCAGUUAGAGUGGUACAUUAUUUUCGGGAAGGCAACACUAACUGAUUUUUUUACUAACCUAAUUUCUGAUUUCGAAGGUGAUUUUAAGUAUAACAGUUUAAAACAGGUGCCAAUGGGAGGAAGAAAUAUAAUUAAUCUAGAUAAAAAUGGGACUCCAAAUAUUAGAAGAACCACACAACAGACAUGAGACAAUAACAACAGCAACAAAUACAGAAGGCAUACAUCAAUCACAUCAGAUGGAGAAACAAUAUCAAGCAGAUUGGACAAUCAAGGCUCGUAAACACUAAGAAGAAUUAGAGUGUUACCUGGAACAUGCAACUGACUAGAGCAUACUCCUACUUGAAAUACAGUGGGGAAUCCAGUGUUGAUUAACCUCAAAUUACAAGAAUAAGGAAGUGUAAAAAGGUUAUAAACUAACCAAAUCGGGGAUUCUAUAAGGAGAUGAUGAUACCUGUCGUUUGAAAUGACUUCCUUUGAAUACAAAACCUGUAUCCAGUGAGAGUUUGAGACGUCGAUGGUCUGAGUAUUCAAAUAACAGCUAGGUCAGAUCCAUAAAAAUCCCUAGAGACCAUUAGAAAUAAUCCAGUACAUCUACAAAGUCUUUAAAACCUAAAUUACUUGGAUCUAUCUUCUAGAUAAGGUGCUUGUAUUAGCUUCCACAGAAGUUUAAUCCACCGAUCUAGGAGAGGGAAGAAAGUAAGAUAACGGUUAGAGACUUAGCUUAGAUGAUGAGGAUGAAGCUGGUGGUGACCUGAGAAUCAUAUGCGACAGAUAUGAAGUAUUGGUAUCACAAAGCUGAUCGGAGAAGAUGAAGAGACAACAAGAGGCGGAUGAGGAAAUUUACUUUCCUAAUUGACCUGGUGGCCUUUUGUAUACCUUAUCUUUGUUUUUUGGAUUCGGGUUAGGUCGCUUUUGGGCCUGAUCCGAUUAAUGUAAAGAUUCGUUUUAUUUUAUCAAAUGGGCUUUGGCCCGAUAUAUAUAAAAAUUGAUUUACUUUUCAAA
rnacentral:lncRNA from 1 species